GGAAGAGAAAACAACCAAGACAGUGGAGCAAGGUGGUGUUUUACAUAAGCGGAACUGCAUGUGGUGAACCAUCACAAGGAUAAUGAUAUUGAAUAAAUUUUAGCAAAGCAAUCACAACUACUAUAUUACGAAUUUUUUUAAAAUAAACUGGAAGAGAAAAUUUAAUAACUGCCCAAUUAGGCCAAUGUGUAUGUAAAUAUAGAGACAUUAAGCCUUAUCCUUAAUUUUACAGUUAUAGAGCUGAAUUAGAUAAUCUUCAACUCCUUCGAAUCAUAGAAAAAAAUUUCUAUUCAACAAAGUUUUGAAGUAAUAUGUCCCUUAGAUCAGAAUACAGAGGCUGUUCCUUUUUUAGGAGAAGGCUGGUCUGGAAAAACUUUUAUUUUUAAGAUUCUAAGACUUAACUAAAUGUUAGGGGAAAAUACACUUUAUAAAUUUGGAUACUUUAGUAUCCCAAAAUUAAACUGAAAUUUUCAUCGCAGAAACAUUAAGUAUAGUUUUCCAUCAUCUUAACAAUUAAAAUCACUUCAAAUCUACUUUACAUACAAACAGGACAGAAAAAAUAUUCGUGAAAAGAGAUUAAAUAGAAUUUGAGUGCCUAUUAACUACCAAGAAUAAUUCGAAUUACAAUUCGUAAUCAUCGUAUUAAAAGGAUAAAAUUGGAACAUGUGGAUUAUACAUGUAUCAAAUACAGUUCAUUUCCUGUAAUAAAAUUUUUUUCUUUAAAUUAACAAACAUUUCUAAAUUCAUUCAUUUGCACUAAUUUGUGUCCAUUUGAAGAGUUUCUGUCUGUCUUGGCCUUUGUUACUAUUUUGUAAACAAUGGUACCCUACAUAAUUGUAUUAGUGUUUUAAAUUGUCGCAAUAGCAGGUGAAACCCAAUUGCUAUUACAUGCUUUGUGUAUUUGUCACUGUCCUCAGCCACUUUCAAGAUUGUUCUGUUCUUUGUAAAUGCACUGGUCUAUUUAGAAUCUGUGAUGUAUACUUAUUGAUCCCAUACUUUCAAGUGAAUGUUAAUAUCCAAGAGUAAUGAUUUCUCUGAGAGAAACAUAUUUACUUAAAUAAUAAAUGUUUAUAUUUCAUGAUGUGUCAACAUUAUAAAAAAAGAGAAAAACAAUUUUACACUUCAGAUCAAUGGAGUAAAACUGAAAGUGUAGUUGAUACAUAUUGUAUUUCACUAUUUCCUUAAUAUGUGAUUAUAAAAUAACCUAUUUGCACAUGUGGACUAAGUCAUGCUGUUGACUCUCAAUAAAUGUUAAAUGAAAAUAACAA